UACGUAGGUGACCAGCGUUGUCCGGAUUUACUGGGCGUAAAGCGCGCGUAGGCGGAAAUUUAAGCGUGGCCUGAAAGCCCCCGGCUCAACUGGGGAGGGUCACGCGAUACUGCUCGACUCGAAGGCAGGAGAGGGAAGUGGAAUUCCCGGUGUAGUGGUGAAAUGCGUAGAUAUCGGGAGGAACACCAGUGGCGAAGGCGACUUCCUGGCCUGUUCUUGACGCUGAGGCGCGAAAGCUAGGGUAGCAAACGGG
rnacentral:rRNA from 1 species